UACGGAAUGUGCAAACGUUAUUCGGAAUCACUGGGCUUAAAGAGUCCGUAGGCGGCAUGUUAGGUGAGGUGUGAAAUCCCCCGGCUCAACCGAGGAAUUGCGCUUCAAACCGGCGCGCUAGAGGAAGAUAGAGGUGGGCGGAACUGAUGGUGGAGCGGUGAAAUGCGUUGAUAUCAUCAGGAACACCGGAGGCGAAGGCGGCCCACUGGGUCUUUUCUGACGCUGAGGGACGAAAGCUAGGGGAGCGAACGGG
rnacentral:rRNA from 1 species